rnacentral:siRNA from 1 species
ACUAGUGAUGUUGUGGGUCGGGUC